GCUCACUAGAGUUUGAGUCUGUCGGUGAUUCUCCUAUAUAGAAGGCAUAGCUGAUACAAAUUCAAGACAGGAAAAGGCAAGGUGGAGAAAUCAAGACCCCAACAGAGGGCUGACCAGGUUACUCAGCAAUGCUGUGGCAGAAACACACAAAAGAGUCCGUGGCUUGUGAUUCACAGGCCAAGACGCUGCCUUGGCGCAGCACUCCCCGUGUUGACGUGGAAGGUGGUGAUGGCAGUGAGCAAAAAAGUGAUCCAUGCACAGAUGCAUUUGUGAACGCCGGAUGAAACAAAGUUAAAAUAGGACCCAGCGGAUGAAGUGGACUGAAACACUGAAUCUGAAACAUUGAUGAUCACUACAGCAAAGGGAAGAGCUCGGUAAAUUGUGCAUAUCGUUCUUAGAUCUUCCACCCAAAAGUAACACUUCCACUUACAUGUAUUGGCCACGGUAAGUCAUG
rnacentral:lncRNA from 1 species